rnacentral:lncRNA from 10 species
GUUUCAUGGGAGAAGCGCUAAACUUUACCUCAACAUUUAUGUAAAGUUAAAGCUGCACAGGAGACACACGUUGAAGUAUUUUGCGGUGAAAUGUUAUGAUGUCUGCAAGGAACUCUCAAAUGGUUGAAGAAAAAUGUGUAUGUCAGAUAAAGAGGGAAGAGAAAACAUUAUUUUUUCCUGUCCCUCAUUGCUUCUGGAUGACUCUCAACACUGAGAAGUAUAUACACUUGACCCACAGGUUUGAAAUGCUCUGCCACCCCCAAGACUGCAAGACCAACCCCUCCACUUCCUCCUCAUCCUUAACUUACCUAAAAUGAAGAUGAUGAGAAUGUACACCUUGAUGAUGAGCCAUUUCCACCUAAUAAAUAGUAAAUAUAUUUUCUCUUCCU